rnacentral:rRNA from 1 species
UACAGAGGGUGCGAGCGUUGUUCGGAAUUAUUGGGCGUAAAGCGCUUGUAGGCGGCACGUCAAGUCGCGUGUGAAAUCCCCAGGCUUAACCUGGGAAGUGCGCGCGAAACUGACGAGCUUGAGUGCCGGAGAGGGUCGCGGAAUUCCCGGUGUAGAGGUGAAAUUCGUAGAUAUCGGGAGGAACACCGGUGGCGAAGGCGGCCUUCUGGACAGUGACUGACGCUGAGACGCGAAAGCGUGGGGAGCAAACAGG